rnacentral:rRNA from 1 species
AUUGAACGCUGGCGGCAUACCUUACACAUGCAAGUCGAACGGUAACAGGUCUUCGGAUGCUGACGAGUGGCGAACGGGUGAGUAAUACAUCGGAACGUGCCUAGUAGUGGGGGAUAACUACUCGAAAGAGUGGCUAAUACCGCAUGAGAUCUACGGAUGAAAGCAGGGGAUCGAAAGACCUUGUGCUACUAGAGCGGCAGAUGGCAGAUUAGGUAGUUGGUGGGAUAAAAGCUUACCAAGCCGACGAUCUGUAGCUGGUCUGAGAGGACGAUCAGCCACACUGGGACUGAGACACGGCCCAGACUCCUACGGGAGGCAGCAGUGGGGAAUUUUGGACAAUGGGCGAAAGCCUGAUCCAGCAAUGCCGCGUGCAGGAUGAAGGCCUUCGGGUUGUAAACUGCUUUUGUACGGAACGAAAAGCCCCGGGUUAAUACCCUGGGGUCAUGACGGUACCGUAAGAAUAAGCACCGGCUAACUACGUGCCAGCCGCCGCCGUAA